GGCUCGGUAGCUCAGCUGGUUAGAGCACGGGAUUCAUAACCCCGGGGUCGGGAGUUCAAGUCUCCCUCGAGCCAUCA
rnacentral:tRNA from 9 species